AUUGGUGCCAAUUUGAGACAACUCAAUGUUGAGAUAUUGCUUGCCUUGUUCUAGAGGUUGCUGGAGAAAUUUUUUACUACGGUUUCAUCAGGUUUCUACAAGGUUUGUAGUUUUUUGUUUAUUUAUUUUCUGUUCUCAUCAUCUUUGGAACAUCCCACAUCUAUUUACAAUUAAUAAUCACUGCAAAACAUGGAAUUUCAAGAUGAUGAGAAGGGUUGGCUGUGUUCAUAGGAUUUCUCUCUUUUUCUCUUCAUCUAAGUCAAAACAUGUUUUCCAUGAGCAUCUCAACUUUCUAGUCACAAAAUUCAAGAAUUCCCAAGGCAGAUUUUUAUUUUGAUUUUUCACUCAAGAAGGUAUUCCAUUAGUUGCCCAACUGGAAAGCCUUCGCUCUUUCCUAUUUCUUUGUUCUCAAUCAGAUGAAAGUUUACUUGUCUAACUUCUGGCUGAAUUUCCUUCGCUGCUUGUUCCUCUGUGUAGUGAUAUUCAGGAUGUGCGAGCUGCGGUAUCUUAUAUAAUUCAACCUUCAUUGUUAAAACUAUGAUAGGUGAAAGUGGAAAAUGGAGUCACUUUCUCGGGGAACUGCUAAGCUUAAUGGUUGAAUUUAAAACAUUGUUACUAUCUGAUAAAAAUGUGCUUUUCUCGUUUUUUACAUCUGUUCUGGGCUGCUCACGCAAUAAUCUUCUAUUGCCAGAAACAAUUGGAGAAAGGUUUGAAAAAUCUAAAAAGAAUCAGAUCAUGCAUUUCAUUGUUGGCUUUGCUCUAACCUUCCUUCUUUUGCACUGCUAAACAUCCUUUCCUUGGUCAAAGGAGUGGAUGGUCAACUCUUACAUGUAAAAGAUGUUAAAAUAUUGGCUAGCAUUCUUUUGAAAAGGCGCCAUGAAUAUCAUAUUCAACAUGCAGAGUCUUGUCAAAAGUUGUCAAAGUUGUCAAAGACAGAGGAUUAUAUCCUCUGCCUUCUACUAGAGACCUGUGUAUCUUCUUCACCUGGUGAAUGUGAAGACCUACUAUUGGAGGUGCUGCAGUAGGGUGAGCCAGCCUCUAAAGAUCCAGCUGUUUUGCUGCCUUUCAUAAUUGUCUUGAGGAGUCUCACUAACUCAUCUUUUGGAGCUAUGAGUAAUAAAAAUCAGUUAUGCUUAAGUCAGAUGAUGAAGUUGAGAAUGUGAUUGCAAAAGUACAGAAUGGAAUGGCUGAAAAAUAUGUGGUUGCAGGUCAAAAGAAAAUUAUUUCAGAGGUUGUUGCUAUGAAGGUGGGAAGACCUGUCUCUCUUUCCAAGUUUGGUACCAACUGUGGAGGCCUUUUAUUUUUUUAUUAUUGAUUAUGUUUUGUUUGUAUUUCCAUCUUUCCGAACUUAACUGCAGCUUCAAGCAAUUUGAUUUAGCUAAAAAUCAGUUAGAAAGUUGUAGACAGAUGCAUGUAGAGAAGUUGUUAAAAGAAUUCAAAUAAUUUGUAUUUUAUGA